CUUUAAGGCUAUACCACUUUCUUCUUUCAUGUAAGCAGGGUUUAGAGCUUUGGCGAAGGCUUUCCGAAACUUGAGAAGCUGAGCUUAAUCUGGUGCUCUAACGUCUCAAGUUCUGGCUUAAUUGCACUCGCCAAAAGUGCUCAUUUUUAACAGCUUUAGAUUUACAGGGUUGCUAUGUUGGAGAUCAUGGUCUAGUUGCUGUUGGACAGUCUUGUAAGCAGCUUGGGGAUUUAAAUUUGCGAUUUUGUGAAGCCUUAACAGAUGCAGGUUUAGUUGAAUUAGCUCUUGGUUGUGGGAAUUCAUUGAAAGCUAUUGGUAUUGCUGCUUGUGCUAAGAUAACUGAUGUCUCACUGGAAGCAGUGGGCAUACAUUGCAAGUCUCUUGAGACCCUAUCUUUAGAUUCUGAGUUCAUACUCGUUUUGCUGUAUUGUUUGCUCUUGGCAUGGAGAAAGGCAGUCAGAAUGGGGUUCCUUCACAAAAUCCAGAGUGGAAUGGGUAUCAGACAUCUCCAUCUCUCUCUCACAUUUCUCCCAUUGCUCCUCAAUUUCUGGCAAUCACUAUCUCAAUUUCAAGCUCUCAUCGGCAUGGCUUUUUGUAUGGAAAUUGAGCUAUGUUGAAUUGACUUGGCGGCUGACCUUUCAAUUGAAUUUGGAUAUCGGCCAUAUGAGCACACUUACAAGGUUCUAGUAAGGAGUUGUAUUCCCGCAACUUGAAAUUGCUUGUUCCUUUCUUUGACUCUCCAUCGGAUUGGAAAACAUUGAGAAGUCCAUACUAAAGCCUCAGUCAACAUUGCUGCUGUGCCCACAAUCCAAGGUAGUCAUUGGUGAUGUUCCUCAGCCUUAGGAACUGUGGAGACAUGAUAUCAAAGUUGUAGGCCACCUAAGUCAUUCUUGAAAGUGUAGGGGGCUUCAUCGAGUGUGGUGCAUGAUUGAGCAACAAUGUCUCACAACGGCUGCUCAGGGCUUGUGCACCAGCAUGGCUGCAUGACCAAACUAACAAAUGAUAUCUCCUCUGAAAAAAAAUUUGUGGUGGCAAAGUGGAAAUUAAGGACCUACCUGAAGCUUCCAUGGAGGCCUCUUAUUAGCAUCAACGGAAGUACGGUCUAUGAAUUAGACGGCGAGUUUAAAAUUGUAAGGCAUGCUGAGAGUUGGAGUGUUUCUGCACUUGAAGCAAUUGGCCAGAUAUUCACAUCUAGCGUUGGAUGGCUUGAUGAAUAAGAUAAUAAUUAUCAUUAUUAUUUUUAUUAGUUGCUGAUCAUGAUUAGAAUAGUAAUAGGAAAGUUUAUAUAUAUAACUUGCAUAUGCCAUAUAUGUAUUCUUUUGUGAUAUAUUUUUCAUUUUACAUUAUGGUUGGCUAAGCUCGUUUUGUUGCUAAAAUAUUGGUCUUAUGUUUAUAGUCCAGAUUUAAUUAACUCUUACUUAAGAAGUUGACUUGGUCAACUCUCUGGCCUUGGUAUAACUAGUAUUCAAGAAUAAAAUGAAAGAAAAUACAGGAACUCUAUUAGACAAUCAAACACAAAAAUCACAAAUGAUCACCAUUUGAGGUAUGAGUUGUUUAGCAAGAGGUGAGGUGAGGUUGAUAUUUGAGGUGUUGAAUGCAGCCGUGAGGUGUGAGCUUUUAGACUGGAGUGACUAUAUUUGUACUUUAGGUCCUGUUUAUAUAAAUGAUCACCAUUUUUACAGAUUCACACAUAUAACCACUUCUUUGCUCUUUUAUUCUUUCAAUUGAGGUACACGUCUUCUCUUCUCCACUCUGUUUAAGUGUGUAGUGGUAUAUUUGUAGAAGCUCUCUUUCUAUUUGUGAGUUAAACGACAUCUUGGAAUGUGCAACUUUGCUUAAUUUUUUAACUAUGUCAAUAUAUACAUAAAGGGUCUCCAAUACAACAAAUACUUUAGCACACUUUUGAAUGAUUAUGUUGGCCUAUACUUAUUUAGCACACUUAUCAUCAUAUAUGUGAACUUAUCACAACUACAUUAUAUGCUUCUUUAUAUAACAAAAGCAACAUUUGUUUUCUUUAGAUAAUAAAUAAUUAAGUAUUUCUCUAUUUACUUUUUGUUGGUGUUUAGAUAUCAUGUCCUGUUUAGAUAUCAAUUUGGAUUGAAAAAGAUAAUGAUUUUUUUUUAUCUCAAGUUGCUGAUUUUGCAUUGUAUUGUUAUUAUGUUUCUAUGUAUUUUAAUCAUGCAUAUACGAAUAUUGUUUAGCAAGGUACACUUCCAACUAUUCAUUUUCAUUUCUUUGAAAUCCUCAUAACUAAUAUAAAAUUAAGAGGAAUAUAGAUGAUACUUGGCAGUAUACAAUCUAAAAACAAAUUAACCGAUACACUUCUUUGUAAUACAUUUGGUUUAGCUUGGUUGCCAUUACUUUUAUAAUUCUGCAUUUUUUUCUUUGUCGUUGCUUGUUUGAUGAUUCUGCAUUGCUUGUAAUGUCUACAUUUUCUAAGUAUAGAAACACACCCUAAUUAUAAAGAAGAUUUACAUAAUCUCUCAUAAGAAAUCUUGACUAAACACUUAUUAAUUUAGUUUUAGAGUGUGGUAUAUAUGGUUUUGUUUAUGGUAGUUUACAAUCACCAUGCUUGAAUUUUAUGUGUUUAUUAUAUGCAUUAUUCUAGUGAAGUCUCUAUCCACCCAUCACCAUAUUCAAGAGAUUGAUCUUCUUAGUGAAAUGCCUUGAUUAGCUAUUGCCUAGCCAAUAUUAACUGAAGUUGCACAGAGUGAACUCAUCUAUAUGCCAAUUUCAACAUAUAUCGUGCAUAUUACAUCUUUUUUUGCACAUCAAAUUAAUAAGUCAGUCAAGUUCUUCUGAACCAAAGCGUCAUUUACAUGCAUUAUUUAAAAGGGUAGAAUAAGAACUUGUUUUGUGAGGUGACUCUAACUUGUAUUCUAAUAUCCCUAAAAUUCUCAUUUGGUUAACUAAGUCUUGCAUACUUCCGUCAAAGAGACUGAACCACCCUUUCUUUGUUGUACUGAACACUUUAAACAAAAAACCAACCAUUCUUUUUUUCUUUUCCUUUUUCUUUUUCUUUUAAAAAUUCAAAAAUUAAACACGAUGAAAGAAUAGCUUUGGAAUUUCUUCAAAAAUUUAUAAGCAUCUUGUGUAUAGUUUCUUUCUAGAGUAGGCCCCAAGACGAGAGAGGUUCAUGUUACAAUCAGGCUCACUUGGAAGAGCUCUUCCAUUCUGUCAAAAAAUCUAGCCUGUUCAUAAACAUUAAUCAGGAUGUUAUAUCUAUUGAUGUCUACUUUAUCUAUAGAAUGUCACAAGCUGAAAAUUUUGUUCAACAGGUUGAAAACAGAACUGAAAAAACUCUCUUUACAAACUUUCAUUUCACUGGGAAAGUCUUAUUGCUUGAUCUAUGGAAGAUUUUGCUAUGCUUUCUUUAAUAUGAUUAUUUCUGAAUUAUUAUAGCUUAAAUUAAAUUGUUUGAAUGUAGGUGGUGAUGGCUUUCAUUGGAGAAACUAGAGGAAUUCAAAAGUGAUAGAGUUGGAGGGUGACAAGAGUUAUGGUAAGAUAUAUUAUACAGUACAUACCCUAUAGACAAGGUGAGAAGCUUUUUAUGUAAAGCAAAAUGUAUGUCGUGUACCAUGAUUCUUUUUUUCUUAACCAAUAAAGCAAAACAACAACAAGAAGAAAUAACAAGUCUGGCUAUUAGAGACUGUUGGUUUAUACCUUAGGCAAAAUGGGGAAGGGUGAUGUAUGUGCUGUUAUAAUUUUGAUAUAUGUAUUUGUGAACAAAUUUGAUCAAGUCUUGUAAGUGCCAUUGUGGUUUUGGACUGUCAAACAGUCAAAGACACUCUAACUGAUGUCUUUUUUUUUUUUAAUGAAUUUUCUAAACUAAACUAAAUUUUAUGAAUUAUUCACACUGAUUAAGAACUUUAAUUCUCAUUUAGAAAAAAAAAAUUCUCUAUUAAGAUUAUUUUCUGGGGUAAAAAAACAUUCUAUAGUUUGUUAUUUUGAGGAUAAUGAAAUUUGAAAUAUCAAAUACUUUAAAAGCUAACUGAAAUUUUCUGUCAAUAUGAUUUGUGGGUCUUAAAGAAAUUCUCCUUUUCCGAUCGCCAUGGGAAAAAAAAGUUUGACAUUGUCCAUUGUAAAUGUGUAGUUCAAUUCGAGUAAAGUUAAUCUUUGCAUUGUUAAUUAGAUUCCUCUUAUCCAUAUGCAUAAAAGUAAUAAAUAGAAGCUAAUGGUUCUAUAUUUUGUUUGUUCAUAGACUAACAGAAAAGUAAUAUGUAAUACCAAUUGAAGAUAAGAAACUAAUAUUGUGUUGGGGUUCAUAUUUCUUAUUGUCUUCUUAACGUUUUCUAUUAUUUAAUAUAUUGUUUGUUGGAUUCUAAGGGAGCUUUGAGAACCUAGGCCCCAAUACAUACAUGCAGAGGAAGAUUAAAUUAUCAUAUAUAAAGCUCAGGUGUAGUUUUAGAAGUGGAAGAGAGUAGCUUUGGGCCUUAUCACCAGCAUAUAUAGCCUUCUUUGUGGUUAUAGAUUGGAAACAGAGGAAUUGUAGCUGUUGGAGAGAAUUGCAAGUCCCUGACAGAUCUUAGCCUUCGAUUUUGUGAUAGGGUCGGGGACGAGGCACUUGUUGCCAUUGGUAAGUGUAACUCCCUACAAUAUCUAAACGUUAGUGGCUGUCAUCAAAUUGGUGAUGCUAGAAUAAUGGCCAUUGCAAGAGGUUGUCCUCAACUUACCUACCUAGACGGGAGUGUUCUCUAGGUAUAUUGAGAUGAUUUCUUUGGAGCAAUUCUUGACAACAUUUGUAGUUGAGGCCUUUAAAAUGGAAGAAUGUAUUUCACUAAUUUUUGUAUACAUUUCUUGUUUUGUAUUUAGUGAUUAAGGAAUCUGAAUUGGGCAUAAAUUAUGUUGUAAUAUGAUUUCUUAAGCCUAGACUAGUAGACUAAAUAUUGUAAUUACAAUUUGAGUAAUUAAUAAAAAUCUAUUUAUGUUACCUUA